GAUGAACGCUGGCGGCGUGCCUAAUACAUGCAAGUCGAGCGAACAGACGAGGAGCUUGCUCCUCUGACGUUAGCGGCGGACGGGUGAGUAACACGUGGAUAACCUACCUAUAAGACUGGGAUAACUUCGGGAAACCGGAGCUAAUACCGGAUAAUAUAUUGAACCGCAUGGUUCAAUAGUGAAAGACGGUUUUGCUGUCACUUAUAGAUGGAUCCGCGCCGCAUUAGCUAGUUGGUAAGGUAACGGCUUACCAAGGCAACGAUGCGUAGCCGACCUGAGAGGGGGAUCGGCCACACUGGAGCUGAGACACGGUCCAGACUCCUACGGGAGGCAGCAGUAGGGAAUCUUCCGCAAAGGGCGAAAGCCUGACGGAGCAACGCCGCGUGAGUGAUGAAGGUCUUCGGAUCGUAAAACUCUGCUAUUAGGGAAGAACAAAUGUGUAAGUAACUAUGCACGUCUUGACGGUACCUAAUCAGAAAGCCACGGCUAACUACGUG
rnacentral:rRNA from 1 species